UUUAAAGAAAAGGGCAAGGAAUCAAUGGGCAAAAGAAGGGGACGCCAACUCGUAAAAAGAUUGUGAGAGGGGUGAUGAUAGUUUGUUGUUGGAGGUUGUGGAAAGCUAGAAAUGAACGGGUUUUUGAGAAUAAAGACGCCAAGGUUGUGGAGGUGGGUUUGCGGCCCUUCCUUUCUGCCUUGGAAAUGUGACAACUGGCACCA
rnacentral:lncRNA from 1 species